CAGAUAAGACAUCCACCAUGAAAAGUCUCUACGUUCUCCUUGCUGUCACUGUCCUCCUCUUCCAUGUUGCUUCAGGACACUCUGAAAGCUGCCAGGAUCUGGGAGGCUACUGCCAGAUCCCUUUAAGGAAGAAAUGCCCCUAUGGAUCACUUCCGGCCAACUGUGGCAUCAAUGCCAAAUGCUGCAAAACUCAACCACCAACAACAAGGGACUGUGCUGCUCUGGGAGGAUACUGCCACGUGCCACUGAGUGAAGAAUGUCCCUCUGGUGAAGAUCUUCCAGCCAACUGUGGUAUCAAUGGAAGGUGCUGCAAAUCAUGAUCUGAGAUUCAGACCUUUGCUUGCGGAAAGAAGCCACCCUGAACAAUGCUUUGGAAAUAGUCACGAAAGAAUCCAAUCAUCAGCUAAUUAAAUCCAGAUUAAAUGUGUACAUUGUAACCCUUUUCUAAUGCACAAUACAAGUUAUACUGUGGUCUUGAUAGAAUGUUGUCUCUUCUGGUUUCAGUUCGGUUCACAUUAAU
rnacentral:lncRNA from 11 species